CCGACACCCUCUCCAACCCCGAGUUCCUCGCGGAGGGCACCCGCUCACACCGGUUGCGUGUGGAGAGGAGGUAGGCCGCCCCAUCUUGCGGACGCACGGACGAGGGUGUCAUGCCGCCGCCGGAAGCAGCAGCGGACCAUGUGCUCCGGCGUAGUCAGGGGAAAGCAGCGGCUUCGACUCCAAUUGCGGCGUUGGUGGCACCAUGAAGGGGUCACAGUGGGCGGCUGUACGGUAGGGGACAGGGUGCAGGGUUGAUCUUCUUCUUCCACGACAGCCGCCCCUCGAAGCUCAGGCUCCCCACUGGGCCCAGAAUCUGAUGCCAUGGCUGCAAUGUGACAUAGGUGCUCACCGCGGCGUCGAAUCACUGGACGGCGGUCACAGGGAAGUAGCUCCCUUUCUCAAACUUACGCUGCGAGACAUUCAGUUUAGACAAAUCGAUUGAUUAAUUAAUGACCAAAUGCAAAUUGCAAGUUUGAAGCUUAAAAUUCAGGUGUGUGUUUGUUGGCUUGGUUACCUGAGCAGUGAAGAUGAGCAUCCACGUCCCGCCGGGGGACUCGGUCCUGCCGAGCGCCUCAGAGAAGGCCGAGGUGUCGAGCUUGGCCUUCUUGAUCUUGGCCAGCGCGGUCAGCAGCAACACCUCCGGGGCCGGCACCUUCCUCUGCUGGUACAGGGUUUCGUGGCUGCCAUGUGAAUCCACUGUCUAUUCUCAUUGCUUAAUUUGCAUUGGUUGUUCCAGUCACACAUAGCUAAUUUUACUUUUCAUACGUGCUGAAGGUUGAUUUGUGCAUGAAAUGCUUUAUGAAUCUGAGCGGUCUGGCUCUUUAUCAAGGAAUUUCACGCAAUCGUCUAAUAUUUUGACAGCAAUUGGUGCGGGUACAGAAUGGGGACCAGUUCUCCCUUUGGACAUUUUUAUGAUGUUGUUUGGUAGCAAGUUUUGAUGUUUCCUAAUCAGAGAGAACAAAGAUCUCUCCAAGCAAGAUGAAGCUUUUAUCUCAGAUGCUUUAUGCUGAAAUUGAUGGGCUAUCUUCCAUUUGCUAGACAGAUGUUUCUUGCUUCAUUUUCAUUUGAAUGUGGUGAUGAAGAGUUGAAGCUGGAAGAAGCCGCAUCCGAACAGCUGCUCCCCGUCGCUGCUUUAUGAGCCGCCUCAUCCAGCGACGCCGCUGCUUCUGAAGACACAGGAGCCGCCUCACCCGGUGAAGACUCGCGGUUGUUCCAUAGUGACUCUGCCACCACCUCUGUUGUUUCCGCACUAAAAUGCAGAUGGUCUUUGCAAAUCCAACGAAGGGGUGGGAAUAUCUGCAGCAUGAAGUUUCUCCUGCUGAUAGGGUGUUCUUUUUCACGUUUGUGGCAUGAUCAUGGUCUUCUGCUAUCAGUGGCAACGAUUCUUCUGCUGUUGUAAGUGAGGUCGUAAGUGUUGUGUUAUUACGUAUUAGAGAUAAAAGAUUACAUGUGUAUGAAGAAAAAUACUUGGGAGUAAGGCUGCGUUUGACCUUAGUUCUCACAAAAUUAAUUUCUAUUUGUUUGCUAGGUUGUGUGUCCUAACAUCACUACAUGUUGUAGUGUAUUUUUUUCCUUUAAAAUCCACAUUAUGCAAUUUGGCUUUAUAAGAGGUGUCACUUUAUUAUUAGUGCAUAUAUGCAAAUAAAGGAAA